rnacentral:rRNA from 1 species
AUUGAACGCUGGCGGCAGGCCUAACACAUGCAAGUCGAGCGAGCGGCGGACGGGUGAGUAAUGUCUGGGGAACUGCCCGAUAGAGGGGGAUAACUACUGGAAACGGUGGCUAAUACCGCAUACUAUCGGAUGUACCCAUAUGGGAUUAGCUAGUUGGUGGGGUAACGGCUCACCAAGGCGACGAUCCCUAGCUGGUCUGAGAGGAUGAACAGCCACACGGGAACUGAGACACGGCCCAGACUCCUACGGGAGGCAGCAGUGGGGAAUCGUGGACAAUGGACGAAAGUCUGACGCAGCAAUGCCGCGUGUAUGAAGAAGGUCUUCGGAUUGUAAAGCACUUUUGGUGGGGAGGCGGUAUCUGAAGAGGAAGCAACGGCUAACUCCGUGCCAGCAGCCGCGGUAAUUC